AAUACGUUCCCGGGCCUUGUACACACCGCCCGUCACAUCACGAAAGUGGGUUGUACUAGAAGUCCUAAUUUAAACAGGCCCAAGGUAUGACUCAUGAUUGGGGUG
rnacentral:rRNA from 1 species